GAUGAACGCUGGCGGCGUGCCUAAUACAUGCAAGUCGAGCGAACAGAUAAGGAGCUUGCUCCUUUGACGUUAGCGGCGGACGGGUGAGUAACACGUGGGUAACCUAUCUAUAAGACUGGAAUAACUCCGGGAAACCGGGGCUAAUGCCGGAUAACAUGUUGAACCGCAUGGUUCUACAGUGAAAGGCGGCUUUGCUGUCACUUAUAGAUGGACCCGCGCCGUAUUAGCUAGUUGGUGAGGUAACGGCUCACCAAGGCAACGAUACGUAGCCGACCUGAGAGGGUGAUCGGCAACACUGGAACGGAGACACGGUCCAGACUCCUAAGGGAGGCAGCAGUAGGGAAUCUUCCGCAAUGGGCGAAAGCCUGACGGAGCAACGCCGCGUGAGUGAUGAAGGUCUUCGGAUCGUAAAACUCUGUUAUUAGGGAAGAACAAAUGCGUAAGUAACUGUGCGCGUCUGGACGGUACCUAAGCAGAAAGCCACGGCUAACUACGUG
rnacentral:rRNA from 1 species